AAGAUCGUACUUCUAGGGAUCAUUCCUACAGUACGCAUCACCAGGACGUCAGUCAACCUGACCCUGGGAACCCAACCGCGACGAUGAUGCGCGUGGCCUAGUCCCGAGCGUGAUCCGGGUGUGUGGCUGUCCGUCGGCAAGGCCUCUCUAGUGGGCUGGUUUGUACGGACUCGGCCGCCUCCCUGGU
rnacentral:snoRNA from 1 species